rnacentral:rRNA from 1 species
UCGUCAGCUCGUGUCGUGAGAUGUUGGGUUAAGUCCCGUAACGAGCGCAACCCUUGUCCUUAGUUACCAGCACGUUAUGGUGGGCACUCUAAGGAGACUGCCGGUGACAACCGGAGGAAGGUGGGGAUGACGUCAAGUCAUCAUGGCCCUUACGGCCUGGGCUACACACGUGCUACAAUGGUCGGUACAAAGGGUUGCCAAGCCGCGAGGUGGAGCUAAUCCCAUAAAACCGAUCGUAGUCCGGAUCGCAGUCUGCAACUCGACUGCGUGAAGUCGGAAUCGCUAGUAAUCGUGAAUCAGAAUGUCACGGUGAAUACGUUCCCGGGCCUU